rnacentral:lncRNA from 13 species
UGAUGCCCAGGGUGACCAGCGCCCAGGGCCAGCACGCCCUCGUUAUGUUAAUCGUGUGUCGUUUGCUGCAAAGCAUCUCAGGUUCUCGUGGGGACAGUCUACGAGAUAGCACUGCCCUAACUGCGUUUUUUAUUUUCUUAUUUCCAAAUCUUCCCUCUCUCCUGACUUUAGGAGCGCAGCCCUACAAAUGCGGCCCUUAACCUUGACUCCUCUCUCCGAGUUCUCACUCUUAAGGCGUCGCUGCCACCGGCGCUCUCUCAGCCCCACUCCUCCAGCUCCGCCGUCCUCCCCCUGCUGUGGCUGCCUUUGUCCCCCAUGUCCCCAGUCCAGCCUCGACACAGCAGGAGUGACCCUGUCACAUCCAGAUGAGUGUGUCCGUGCAUUUGUGACCUGGCUAUCAGAAGCCUGCAGUGGGCUCCCUGGCCGUUUCUCUUACCCUGGAAGCCCUCCGCAGAAGCUUUCUAACAACCCCACCCCCUGCUGCUCUUUCGGCCCCCUGGACGUCCCCCCAUUUUGCAGCCAGGGACCUACAACUCCCCAGACGUUUGGAAGGAGGGAAGAACCAGAGGUGGAAGGAAGGUUCCCUCCUGGAGUUUGCCUGGAAAGGGUUUUCCAAAGCAGGUGGCCUGUGAGUAUGGCAUGGUGCACGUGGCCUCCAAGGAUGGGGGCCCGAAAGGCAAAGACUACUGCAUUCUCUACAACCCGCAGUGGGCCCAUCUGCCACAUGACCUCAGCAAGGCGGUGAGUACCCGCUGGCCGGGCGCCCCUGCGGAGAAGCAUGCGUGGUGGCCAGGGCUCCAGAGACUUAUCGGGCAAGGGCGGCAGGAAAGAUCCAGAGGCGAGAGGCAGGCCCUGGGCCAGUCUGGGGGACCCUUGGGUGGCCCCCAGUUCCCCUAGGCCUCCCAGUCUUGGUCAUCAAUGAAAGCUGUCCAUGGGGCCUUGGGGUGCAGACUGAGACACCAGCCGAGCCCCAUGUGCUGGACAGGGGUCUCCUCCAUGAACUGCUCCGUGCCACAGUUCCCGUCUUGUGGGCCCAGACACAGGGGUCCUUGGAGGAAUGGCAUCAGAGGGCACAGUGGGGCCCCAGGGAGGAGACCUGUUCCUUUCCCCGUUUCCUAGCUGGGGCACUAGCAACUGCUGCUGGGUGGGUCUCCUCAGGCCCCACCUCCUUUCCCAUUGCAUCCCUCAGGCCCCACCUCCUUUACCCACUGUGUCCUUCAGGCCCCGCCUCCUUUCCCAGUAUUGCCCUUAGGCCCCACCUCCUUCCCCACUAUAGCCCUUAGGCCCCGCCUCCUUUCCCACUGUAGUCCUUAGGCCCCGCCUCCUUUCCCACUAUAGCCCUUAGGCCCCACCUCCUUCCCCAUUAUAGCCCUUAGGCCCCGCCUCCUUUCCCAGUAUUGCCCUUAGGCCCCACCUCCUUCCCCACUAUAGCCCUUAGGCCC